AUCUAUUACUGAUUUCAUGGUCAACAUUGAGAGGGAAAUUGUGCACAAAGAGAAUUUGGAGAGAGAGGAGAGAAAAUCUUAAAGAAAGGAGACAAAUUUUAACCAAGAACCUAGAAAAAGGGAUGCAAUCUGAAGAUUUCUUGAGACAAGAAAUAUUCAGA